rnacentral:misc_RNA from 1 species
GAUGAAGAACGCAGCGAAAUGCGAUACGUAAUGUGAAUUGCAGAAUUCAGUGAAUCAUCGAGUCUUUGAACGCACAUUGCGCCCCCUGGUAUUCCGGGGGGCAUGCCUGUCCGAGCGUCAUUGCUGCCCUCAAGCACGGCUUGUGUGUUGGGCCUCCGUCCUCCUCCCGGGGGACGGGCCCGAAAGGCAGCGGCGGCACCGCGUCCGGUCCUCGAGCGUAUGGGGCUUCGUCACCCGCUCUUGUAGGCCCGGCCGGCGCUUGCCGACACAUCAAUCUUUUUCCCAGGUUGACCUCGGAUCAGGUAGGGAUACCCGCUGAACUUAAGCAUAUCAAUAAGCGGAGGA